GGCUGUUGGCAGGCUAAUUCGGUACUGUUCGUUAAUUUCGGUUUAUCGAGGCCCAGUACCGAAAGUACCUCGGUAAAUUUGGUACCUGGGAACCUGGUACCCCGAAUUAUUUGGUUUCGAUAUUUUUUGGUUCAGUUCUCGGUAUUUUUCGAUUCAGUUUUGGUUUUCGGUAUUUCGUGGCCUGGGUUACCUACCAAUGGGUGCGGCUAUUGCCGCCACCACACCGGGAGAUGGAGUCACGUUGACAUGUUGGCAGCGACCUGCACCGCACGAGCAAGCCAUGCCCGCAUCGCUCGCUAGCACCCACCUUUCCUUGCGCUAGCACAUGAAAAGAUGGUGAUUAUUCUUUUCACUUAGAGAUGGUGAUUCGGUCGUGAGAGGAAUGAAGGCGAGUAGCGAGCAGGCUGCCCAUCAUAUCCUAUUUUCUUUUUUAUUUUUUUUAAUAUAUGUUGAACUUUAUAAUAUGUAAUGAUGCAGUGCAAUGCUACAAAGUUCCCGCAGCAACACGCAGGUUAUCGUCUAGUAUCUAGAAAUUGAGCCAAUAGGACUUAGAACGAUGUAGACUGAAGGGUGUACCAACGUUCGUGCCCCGCUCGUGGGAUUAUUUCGUUUGAAUCUAAAACUUAACAAAAUAUGACUUAUAAAACAGUAGAAUUGUAGAAAUAUAAUCUCACUACUAUCCUCUCUUAAUAGUUUGAUAUUAAGAAUAACGUCAGCUGUUCUUAAGUUUUUCAUCUCAAAAUUAUUAAAUAAGUUCUUAACCUCCUUAAUUAUAUUUCGUAAGAUCAAUAUAUUGUCAACAUACUUACUUUCACUAUAGCAAUAAUACAUACAUUUAUCAGUUUCGUUCAAAAUAAAGCAGUAGAUGUUAAGGUUCCGUCGAACGUCUCAUGCCAUUGCAUAGACAUUUUGAGACCGUACAAAAACAUCAAUAAUUUACACACCAUGUAUUCUUGACCAUUUGCUACAAAUUCAUCUCACUCAUCUAUAUAGAUUCCCUCUUUAGCUCUCCAUUUAGAGAAGUUGUCUCAACAUCCAUCUCAUAAAACGAGAAGACCAUAGAGGUUGCCAAGAAAAAAAGCUUAGCUUGACUCGGCUCGGUUUAUUCUGGCUCGUUAAGAUGCUGAGUUAGCUUAGUUUGGCUGAUUUACAAGCUCGAUCUAGUUUAUUAAGCUCGCGAGAUAGGUAUAAAAAGUACAUAAAAUAUAAUAUUUAUAUAUAUCCGAAGCUUGAGAAUAGUAACAAUGCAAAAGUAAUACAUUCAACGGCCUU
rnacentral:lncRNA from 1 species